GAUGAACGCUGGCGGCGUGCCUAAUACAUGCAAGUCGAGCGAACGGACGAGAAGCUUGCUCCUCUGAUGUUAGCGGCGGACGGGUGAGUAACACGUGGAUAACCUACCUAUAAGACUGGGAUAACUUCGGGAAACCGGAGCUAAUACCGGAUAAUAUUUUGAACCGCAUGGUUCAAAAGUGAAAGACGGUCUUGCUGUCACUUAUAGAUGGAUCCGCGCUGCAUUAGCUAGUUGGUAAGGUAACGGCUUACCAAGGCAACGAUGCAUAGCCGACCUGAGAGGGUGAUCGGCCACACUGGAACUGAGACACGGUCCAGACUCCUACGGGAGGCAGCAGUAGGGAAUCUUCCGCAAUGGGCGAAAGCCUGACGGAGCAACGCCGCGUGAGUGAUAAAGGUCUUCGGAUCGUAAAACUCUGUUAUUAGGGAAGAACAUAUGUGUAAGUAACUGUGCACAUCUUGACGGUACCUAAUCAGAAAGCCACGGCUAACUACGUG
rnacentral:rRNA from 1 species